UCCCUGGUAGUAUAUCGGCUAGUACACGCGCCUGUCAUAUUGACCUAGUGGUGGUUAAGUCCCCUUGUGGAGCGCGCGAAAGCGGGGUUCGACUCCCCGCCAGGGAG